GAUGAACGCUGGCGGCGUGCCUAAUACAUGCAAGUCGAGCGAACAGACGAGGAGCUUGCUCCUCUGACGUUAGCGGCGGACGGGUGAGUAACACGUGGAUAACCUACCUAUAAGACUGGGAUAACUUCGGGAAACCGGAGCUAAUACCGGAUAAUAUAUUGAACCGCAUGGUUCAAUAGUGAAAGACGGUUUUGCUGUCACUUAUAGAUGGAUCCGCGCCGCAUUAGCUAGUUGGUAAGGUAACGGCUUACCAAGGCAACGAUGCGUAGCCGACCUGAGAGGGUGAUCGGCCACACUGGAACUGAGACACCGUCCAGACUCCUACGGGAGGCAGCAGUAGGGAAUCUUCCGCAAUGGGCGAAAGCUUGACGGAGCAACGCCGCGUGAGUGAUGAAGGUCUUCGGAUCGUAAAACUCUGUUAUUAGGGAAGAACAAAUGUGUAAGUAACUAUGCACGUCUUGACGGUACCUAAUCAGAAAGCCACGGCUAACUACGUG
rnacentral:rRNA from 1 species